AUUGAACGCUGGCGGCAUGCUUUACACAUGCAAGUCGAACGGUAACAGGUUAAGCUGACGAGUGGCGAACGGGUGAGUAAUGCAUCGGAACGUGCCCGAUCGUGGGGGAUAACGCAGCGAAAGCUGCGCUAAUACCGCAUACGAUCUGAGGAUGAAAGCGGGGGACCGUAAGGCCUCGCGCGAUCGGAGCGGCCGAUGUCAGAUUAGGUAGUUGGUGGGGUAAAGGCCCACCAAGCCGACGAGCUGUAGCUGGGCUGAGAGGACGACCAGCCACACUGGGACUGAGACACGGCCCAGACUCCUACGGGAGGCAGCAGUGGGGAAUUUUGGACAAUGGGCGAAAGCCUGGUCCAGCAAUGCCGCGUGCAGGAAGAAGGCCUUCGGGUUGUAAACUGCUUUUGUACGGAGCGAAAAGGUCCUUUCUAAUACAAGGGGCUCAUGACGGUACCGUAAGAAUAAGCACCGGCUAACUACGUGCCAGCCGCCGCCGUAACAC
rnacentral:rRNA from 1 species